UCAAGGUGCAGAAAGAAGCAUACGCUUAUUUCAGACAAAGACGAGGGAGGCUGCUCGAUGAUGCCUAUUUGCCGCAAAGAUUUUGUUUGGGGGGAAAGACUUAUAGAAGGAGGGGGGAGUUUCCUCAAGUUUUUUGGUGGGGGAAAAAGAGGGUUCCUCAAGCUUUUUUAAAAAGCAUGGAAAAAGCCAGAAGGAAACACCAACAAGCAGGCCAGGCUUUGAAAGUCCUGGGUUGAACUGAAUAUGUUUAAAGGAAAGCAAGGUGUGGAUAAGAGACUCAAAGCUUUGGGCACAGCUCUCUCUUCCUGUUCUACAAUGCCCCUUUUAUGGGGGGUUUGCAAGGUUUAGCCCUUAUCUUGUUCAAGAUCCCUGGAAUAAAGGGCCAGGGCCAGGUGGGUCCUCCAGCCAACCGUGCCUGUGAGUCAGAAGCCAGGCUGUGGAGAUGGAAUUCUUCACGUGUUGGUGGAUGGUGAGGCAGAACACUUGGGAGACUCUGGAUCUCUUAAGAGGCUCUGCAACAUUCUGGGCUUGGAUGCAGGCGCGACAACGCCACCCACAAACAAGAACCAAGGUGCUCCGGCUGUGAGUGAAAAUCAAGAUGAUGUGUUUUUUUCCAAACAAGUUCCAUGGACCACAGGCUAAGAAACGUUAUGCUAGGUGACUGCCGAGGAUACAAAGAAGGGCAAACACCAGGCCUGGCCCUCAAGGAGCAGACAUUCAAACCUCUUCAUCCUUAAAUGCCCUUAGGAUCACAUGACCUAGUCUGAAUCUUUGCUACGGAUUUUGUACAUUUUUUUCCCCGUCUAUCACUUCUCAACGUUUUAGGAAGUAUGACCUCUUAUAAUCCUCUGCCAUUUCGGUGGUAUUAUUGGUGUUCACUAUGCAACGCACCUUGAAGAAAGCAUUCAUGAGAUUCCACUGGAGGGAAAAUACCACAAAGGAAGUCAGAGAAAGAAAUGUGCCACACCAGCCAAAAUAUUCAGAGUUCCACUUUCUGUGGCAGCAAAAAACUAGAAAGUCAGUGGCCACUAAACAGAGGCUGACUGAACUGUGGGGUGUGAAUGUUAAGAAAUACUACUGAAGGAUAAGAAAUGACAAAUAUGUGACAACCAAAGAAGCAUGGGAAGACUUGUAUGAACAGAUACAGAGUAAAAGAAGCAGAACCAGAAACACAAAUGACACAACAUCUAGAAAAAAAGCAAAUGAAAAGAACACUAAAAUAAGCCCAAAUGUUAUGCAAUUAUAAUGACCAGUCUUGGGUCCAGAGAAGAGACGAUGAAAUACACCUCUCCCUCACCCUACCCCCGUCUCUGACAGGUACAGGGGGAAAUGGGUGUGGAAUUUUAUAAAUACUAUCAAGUAUGGUCAUAGAUUGAUGUUAACUGGUUUUCUUUGUUAUAGAAAAAGCCUCAUUUGGGAAUAAGCAUUCAUGUAGUGCCUACUGUGUGCCUGGUACUAUGCUAAAUGCUUUACUAAUAUCUCACUCGAUCCUCACAACAACCCUAGUGUGUGUGAGGUCAGAUGUGAACUCAGUUCUUCCUGACUCCAGGCCCAGGGUUCAACCCACCGCACCAUCAGCAGCUUUAAGGAGCAUGUACAUAUGGAAAUGAUUUCCAAAUCAAAAGGUAUCAAUAAUGCUUUGGUUUUGGUUUUGGUUUUUUUUGCAGGGCAACGAGGAUUAAGUGACUUGCCCAGGGUCACAUAGCUAGUAAGUGUCAAGUGUCUGAGGCCAGAUUUGAACUCAGGUCCUCCUGAAUCCAAGGCCAGUGCUUUAUCCACUGUGCCACCUAGCUGCCCCCUCAAUAAAACUUUUUGAAAAGAAAAAGGAGGCAUUUUAGCAUGAGGCUUCUAUGUGAUCUACAAGCCUGUGGCCUGUCAUUUUUUCAUCCUAAAUCAUGUUCUCCCAAACAUUUUUCACCGUCCCCUGCUCUGUGCACCCCUGCUUUAAAGUCCCUGAAUACUAAAGCAUAAUUGCUGAUUCACUUGGGAGGGGUUUUCUCAGUUCUCCCUUCCCCACCCUGUCAUUGAUGCUGGUAUACAAACUGCUAUCACUGCUAUUGCUUUAAUUGUCAGGGGAGGGGACACUCAUGGCAAAUGCAUAUGAAAAGCAUGGACUGACCAAAGGAUCAACUAACUGCCCUUUGACGCUUCUUGUUGCUGUUGGAAACACAUUGAAAGCAGCUCAUUCCUUUGCCAGCUGCCAGCUGCCAGCCACACUUCUAUUUGUCUUCUGGUCUGCCAGUGAGCAGGUGAGGAUGGGCAGGGCCCUUUCCUCCAGGGCCAUCCUCUCACUCACCGGUCCCGGCACAAGGGUCUCCCGUUUAAACUACCACACAGUCUAAUACCGUGACUCUGGCCCCUCUUCCACCACUGUCCCCAACACUACAGAAGCCAAAGGGGGCCCUGCAGGGCCAUGGGCUACUGGACAUCUUCCCACCAAACAGUGAGCUCCACUAGGGUCUCAUCCCUAUGUCCCCCAGCACCUAGCCCGGGCUCUGUGCACUGGAGACGCUCAACAGAUCCUGGGGGAAGGAACAAAGAAUGCACGACUACUGAUCAACGGAAGCUGAGAAAAAGCCCCGAGAUGAGGCACAGCACCUUCCUGUUCAAAGGCUGAAGACUAUGUUGGCAAGGUCUAGAGGGGCCUAAGAGGCCAAAUACCUUUAAGUACCAACUUUUAAGACACAUCAAGAACCUAACCCUUGUUUACAGGCUUGUGUCUCAGCAAAGUCACGCUGUGGGAGGUCCCUGCUCUAUACCCCAAACACCCCUGAGCCCUUAAAUUGGCCGUCCUGGUCCAUUCCUGGAAAGCUGGUAGUGAGUGCCCCCUGGUGGCAGGCUACGGGACCUGAUCCACAUCUGCUCCCUUCCUCUGCAGCCUCCUCUCCCAAGGACAGACUGCGAUGUUCUGCUCCCGAGUUCCUGGGUUACGUUCUCGCCUCCUCCCAGAAGACUGUGCAGUCAGCUCCUAAGCAUCCCUCCCUCCACAAGCCCUGUGCUCCAGCCAAACUCAAGCAGGACUCACUACCUCCCUUCCCCCAUUCUCCUGACCUGGCACGGCCACCUCCCCAUCUUUUCAACAAAUCCAGCAUACCCUUCCAUCCCCAACUCAUAUCCUACUUACUACCUCCUCCAGGAAACCUUCCCUGACUCUGCCAGCUCCCAGUCAUCCCACUCUCCUCUGAAUAAUCUGUCCUAAAAUGUUUAACCCCUAAAAUGAAUUCUCUCUCACUACUCCUACAUGCUUCUGAACUAAUUCCCCACAAUGUCGACUGUGUCUCUUCUGAGGGAAGACAAAUUCACUUUACCAUGACCUAAAGGCAAAUAUAAUUCAGAAAGAGAGCCUUCUGCCUGUAACACUGCCCACCAAAGGAAAGCAUCAAUGGCAAUCUGGAUAGCUAUUCCACAACACAGCUCCCCUCCAUCAGUGGGCAGGUAAAGGUCAACAUGAACUGAGCACAGAACAAAGAGCUAAGCUGUGACCAAUGUAUUUUCUUAUGGAGAAUAUUCCAGCUUCUAAGUUCAUUACAAUAAACAUAUUAUUGAUUUGAUGUUA